GAUGAACGCUGGCGGCGUGCCUAAUACAUGCAAGUCGAGCGAACAGACGAGGAGCUUGCUCCUCUGACGUUAGCGGCGGACGGGUGAGUAAAACGUGGAUAACCUACCUAUAAGACUGGGAUAACUUCGGGAAAACGGAGCUAAUAACGGAUAAUAUAUUGAACCGCAUGGUUCAAUAGUGAAAGACGGUUUUGCUGUCACUUAUAGAUGGAUCCGCGCGGGAUUAGCUAGUUGGUAAGGUAACGGCUUACCAAGGCAACGAUGCGUAGCCGACCUGAGAGGGUGAUCGGCCACACUGGAACUGAGACACGGUCCAGACUCCUACGGGAGGCAGCAGUAGGGAAUCUUCCGCAAUGGGCGAAAGCCUGACGGAGCCACGCCGCGUGAGUGAUGAAGGUCUUCGGAUCGUAAAACUCUGUUAGUAGGGAAGAACAAAUGUGUAAGUAACUAUGCACGUCUUGACGGUACCUAAUCAGAAAGCCACGGCUAACUACGUG
rnacentral:rRNA from 1 species